rnacentral:lncRNA from 1 species
UCCCACCUUUAUUUGGAACGCCUGCUGAUCAUACUUGUUUUGGCCCUUUGGGAGUUGGACUAACUCUCUUAUUUCCUGUGCUUUAAUGGAACUAAGCUCCGGUCAUCACAUAUUUGUUCUGCUCCAUUGAGUGUAAUUAAUUUAAUGCCUAGACAGCUGAUAGUAAUUGAAUCUCUUGGGAAGGCUGAAGUUUCCACUUUCAUACCGAAAAAGUUAGCAUGAAAGAAGGAUCAAUCUGCAGACAAGCCUCUAUAGAAAACAGCAUGUCUUGAUCUAAAUUGGUGGUAAUGGUAGUUGGUCCUUUGAUCAUGGGUUUUCAUAGACAAGAACCCAGGUUGAC